rnacentral:rRNA from 1 species
UACGUAGGGUGCGAGCGUUGUCCGGAAUUAUUGGGCGUAAAGAGCUCGUAGGCGGCUUGUCACGUCGGGUGUGAAAGCCCGGGGCUUAACCCCGGGUCUGCAGUCGAUACGGGCAGGCUAGAGUUCGGUAGGGGAGAUCGGAAUUCCUGGUGUAGCGGUGAAAUGCGCAGAUAUCAGGAGGAACACCGGUGGCGAAGGCGGAUCUCUGGGCCGAUACUGACGCUGAGGAGCGAAAGCGUGGGGAGCGAACAGG